UACGGAGGGGACUGGCGUUGUUCGGAAUUACUGGGCGUAAAGCGCACGUAGGCGGAUUUGUAAGUCAGGGGUGAAAUCCCGGGGCUCAACCUCGGAACUGCCUUUGAUACUGCAAAUCUCGAGUCCGGAAGAGGUGAGUGGAAUUCCUAGUGUAGAGGUGAAAUUCGUAGAUAUUGGGAAGAACACCGGUGGCGAAGGCGGCUCUCUGGACCGAGACUGACGCUGAGGCGCGAAAGCGUGGGGAGCAAACAGG
rnacentral:rRNA from 1 species